CCUACGGGAGGCAGCAGUGGGGAAUAUUGCACAAUGGAGGGAACUCUGAUGCAGCGACGCCGCGUGAGUGAAGAAGUAAUUCGUUAUGUAAAGCUCUAUCAGCAGGGAAGAAAGUGACGGUACCUGAAAAAGAAGCUCCGGCUAAAUACGUGCCAGCAGCCGCGGUAAUACGUAGGGGGCAAGCGUUAUCCGGAAUUACUGGGUGUAAAGGGAGCGUAGACGGCUGUGCAAGUCUGGAGUGAAAGGCGGGGGCCCAACCCCCGGACUGCUCUGGAAACUGUACGGCUGGAGUGCAGUAGAGGUAAGUGGAAUUCCUAGUGUAGCGGUGAAAUGCGUAGAUAUUAGGAGGAACACCAGUGGCGAAGGCGGCUUACUGGACUGUAACUGACGUUGAGGCGCGAAAGCGUGGGGAGCAAACAGGAUUAGAUACCCCAGUAGUC
rnacentral:rRNA from 1 species